GCCUCCUCCGGCGAGGCUCCGGCCUCAGGUCCGGAUGGUCGCGGUGCGGCGCCCUGCCGGGAGUGGUGGUGAGUCCGAGGGCGCCACAGCAGCCCUGCUCCUGCCCCUGGUGGAUGCCGUGCUGCGAGGGAGCGGUUAGCCCCUCCUCUUCUCCCCGGGGUCUCAAACGGGUGGGAAGGGACAGUCCCAGUGGCAGACCGGGCGCCUUAACGCGCCGUGGCCUCGCAGGCGCACGGCAGGGACGGACUCCGGUGUUGAGCGCCUCCCGUGUCCCCACCAGCGCUGGCCCACGCUCAGGCCCCAGAGCUGAGCCGCCAGCCAUGGCCGCUCCCCGCGGGAGGGCCGCGCCCUGGACGACGGCCCUGCUGCUGCCCCUGACCUCACAGGUCCUAUACUCGGGGAGCUGCGCGGACGAGGAGGAGGUCCCAGAGGAGUGGGUGCUCCUGCACGUCGUCCAGAGCCAGAUAGGCGCCGGGAACUACAGCUAUCUGCGGCUGAACCAAGAGGGCAAGAUCGUCCUCAGGAUGCGCAGCCUCAAGGGCAACGCGGACCUCUACGUCUCCGCCAGCAGCCUGCACCCCCAGCUUCGACGACUACGUGCUGCAGUCGGCCACCUGCGGCCCGGACGCCGCGUCAAUCCCCGCGCACUUCCGGCGCCCAGUGGACAUCGGCGUCUACGGACACCCGUCCCACCUGGAGAGGGAGUUCCAGAUGAAGGUGUACUACGACGGCAGGUCGAGCAGCACCCGUUCGACGAGGCCGCCUACCCCGCAGACGGCGCAGAUGCUGGCCAGAAGCACGCUCCUGCGCCAGAAGACGCCUCGCAAGAGAAGGAAUCUGUUCUCUGGACGAUAUUAAUUAGCAUUUUGAAACUAGUACUUGAAAUUCUGUUUUGAGUUCUUAACAACGCCCUGGAGUAUAAAACCCUCCAUCUGUGAAGCUGAUUGCAGUUUGCUGUGGACCUUGCUACUUGUACUUGGUUGAAGUUGUAGUUACCUUUUUCUAGUCAAGGGAUGGAAAAAUAAAGCCAUAUGCAUUUUGAUACCUCAGUUACCUCCAAAAUAGGAAAAGUAGCAAGCAUAGUAUUUGUUUUCUUUUAAAGAUCAAAAUUCCUAUAUUAAUAAAAGGACCGUGUACCAUAAAAUGUUUAGACUCUAUUUUCAUUAGGUUGACUAAAAAUGAGGAUUGCAGUCACUUAGGUUUAUAUAAAUCGAAAUAGAGCAACCUUUCAUGCUGUGACACAGAUGAGAUUAAAAGGUUGGUAACUUUAUAAUUUUACUCUGGAGAUUGUAAGCGAAGUUCAAGGUGUUAGAGUUACUAAAAUCAAGUUGGAAAUGAUUUAUAUACACUUCCCUGAGCCUGGACUAAAGCCCCCAUGCCUGAACCCCAAGUACAGAUGGGACUUUUCUAUACUAGAAAGGGAUUUCCUGGCUGGCAGGUAUUUACAAACUUUGUUCCUGUACCAGUCCAGUAAUGACAACUCUAAAUCAAGCUGCACCAGAUCUUAUUAGGCCAUUUAUCAAUUUUGGCCUAUGAAUGAAAAUUCUUUAGUUAUUAAAUAACUUUUUUAAUGCUACCUAUGGUAGGCCAGAAACAAUGUAGAUUAGGAAGUUUCAUAAAAAUAACUUUUUGGACUAUGGAGAAAUAGUUAAGUAACUUAAGUUCCUAAAUAUUUCCACUGAAUUUUUGGAGUGAGCCAGUGUUAAUAUAAAAUACUUUAGAAGAUGAACUCUCUACCUGGAAUCAGUUUCAAGGGUAAGAGUAGCUUUUAACAAAAAUAAAUCAAAUUCAGAUUUUAAGCUAUAGUUAAUUUAAAAAAAAUCUUUUACUAGCAUAAAAAUGAAAAUGUUGUAAAUAAAUUGGCACCAAAUAUUCCACUUAAAUGCAUAUACAAUAUUAGGGUCAAAAACUAUUUUAUCCCUCUUUGCUGUUUUUUCCCCCUUCUGCCCACUUUCUUGGGUGUUGGGGGAGCCUGCUGACAACAGUCACAAAUCCAGCGACCUAGGAAAAAAAUUGUUAGUUAAUACAGAAUAAAAAGUAAUUUUUAUGGGACUGAUUUUUAAGCCUAUUUAAACUCUUAUUCCUUAGCUAACUCUAAUGAUAUUCCUCUGUGGAUUUUGUGGUGAGAAGGACACUGAGCUCCUUAAUAUGAGGAGAUAAAUGUAAACUUAAUCAAUGUAAUCAAUGCUGUGCAAAAUUCAUUCCCAGUCAAGGGGAAUGGGAGAGAUGCGAUGCCAUACAUAUGGACCUUUAAAAAAUAAUAAUCUUUCCUGAAAUUUAAACAGUAUCAUACUUCAGAAGUUCAAUACAAACAAUACAAAACCCAUUCCAGAAUUUGGCUUUUUAAAGCCUUUUUCACUCCUGUUUACUGGCAGCUGUGUGUCUUAACAGCAUUCUUUCAAGUCCUGGUGUACUAUGCUGACAGCACUUUAAAACUUCAAGUUUCUAACAGCACAGUUAUAAAUUGUACUACAUAUUUGAUCUGAAUUACUACAGAACUUUAAGUAAAUACGUUGCUUGCUUAAUGAUUCCCAGGAAACUUCAUUGUAGGCAUAUAUUUUAUAGAGAAUUAUACAGUGUUAACACUAUGCAAGUAAGUUCUAAAAUUACACAAUUAUCCGUGUAAUAUUUUAGUCCAAUUACUGUGAUUUAUUCAAUUCUCUUUGUUGUAAAGUUAUCUGGAACUGUCAUGCUGCCCCAAUUUAUAUAAAUCUAUAAUAGACUUUCUAUAGAAAUGUGUAAAGAUGUAGCAGUCAUUUUGUUAAGUUUCUAAAUAGAUAACAUA